GUUCUCUCUGUGUUGUCAUGUGUUGGAUCAGUCUGUGUUGUGGUUCUACUGGUGUUACUGGUUCUGCUGGUGAGACGAUGUUUUCACAGGAAACCAGAAGAUCACUAUGACCCUGCAGAAGAUGACAACAUGCACAGAGAUACAACAAUAUCAAACCAUCAACAACAGCCAAAAAGAGAAAUUGGUCCAGCUGUAAUCCACUCAGCAACAAGAAUUGAAGAUGUUUGUUAUGAACACAUAAUCAUCACACCAAAGAUGAAAAGAGACUUUAAACCAGAGCCAGAUGUCGUCUACUCUUCACUGAAGUAGUCCACCAGUCCAACCACUGACAUCCAGCUGCUGGUCUCUAACUGGGUCACCACUAGCACCUUAGACCAGAGAACAUCCACAUGCUCACAAAGAUUUUUUUAUGUUGCAUUUUUUCACUCUUUUAUUAUUCAAAAAAUUCAGAAAUGAUACUUUUAACUGGCCCAAAAUCAUCAGUGCUAAUAUGAAUGUGUUUUAUAGACAUAGCAUCUUCACUGUUAUCUAUAUUAAAAAUAUGAGACUAAUACGAGACUAAUAUGAGAAAUACCUUGUGUUUGUUCCCACAGCAAACAUGUGUUUCUCUGCAGGAUUAAGAACCCUUUGUUCUCUUGUGUUUCUCACGUGGUUCUGUGGGUUUCACCAAGAUGUAAGAUGGAAAAUUUGACUUGUUCCGGUUUGGUUGGUUGUGGCUAACCAAUGCAGAAAUUUUUCACUGCAGAGAAGAAGAAGAGGAGGGAAAAAAAAACAUUAAAUAUAAAAUUAAAUUAAAGAGUUCUUACCUUGAUGUUCUAAUUCACACUGAAACAGCUGAGUGUUCAAUAUUAAGAAAAAUGAUAAUAAUAACAACAAUAACAAUAACCUAAACAUUAUUUGGCAACAGAUUCUUAAAUGCAAUUUUUUACAAUGAAUAUUUACUACAAAACUCAAAUUUGGGUCUUUUUUCUACUGAAAAAAACAAGUACAUUUCAACCUUCUACUUAACCUUCGAGUUAACUUGGACUACAAGGUACUUUGUUUUGAUAAACACAUUUAUUUUCUCCCUCAUUCUUGGAUGGAUUUAGUGUAUUGCACUUAGUACUUUAUCUCCAAACACUUUAAGUACUUAAACUAAAAGCCAGUGAACAUGUAACUCAGAUGGAACUUCCUUCUGGAUCACCUCUGCUGAGCCAACUCAGAGCUGACACUUGAAAAGUCAUGUUUCAUAAAGUUGUAUUUGCUGCCAUCUAGUGUUUAAACGUACUUCAGCAUACAAGUCAAGUAAUUUGACUUAAAUGGCCUUGAACAGUUUGGUGGUGUUCUCAAUUGGUGUUUGCUCUCUCUGUGUCACUUCAUGUUCCUUUUACAACACACAGUUUUGUGCUGCUUAUCUGUGUAGCUGUUUAAUUAAAAAACUUUAGGAACCGACUUAUUCCAUAGUGUAAUCUUCACAUGCUUUAUUUAAAACAGACUCUGCAAAAUCACUUGCUAGUUAAAUUAGCAAAAAGCAAGUAUUCCUUUGGGUUUGCUACAGCUUAGCAGGUGGUGUAGGUCGCCAUGUAAUUGGAAGAUUGGCGGUUCAAUGGCUGACUGCAACAAGCGUUCUGUUUUUAAGAUUUUGUUGAACUAUGUGGUUUCAUCGCUUUUAGGCAGCUGAGCUAACCAUAUUGUUAACAUCUACGCAGCUAUGUUAGCUCUACUAACAGGAAAUCACUUCACUGUCAGAUGUUUAAUGAAUACCGACUAAAAAUGGAAAAAGAAAGAAGGUUUUAUUUCAUUUUUGCUGAGCAUACCAACAAAUCUGAACCAGUUUGAUACAAGAUACUCUCUCUCACACACACACACACACACACUUGUUUUCCACUAACACAAAGCUGCUGAAAAUUUGAUGAAUAAUCAGAAUAUCAAAUAAAAAGUUUCAAUUUAACAAUCUUAUUAAGGAAAAAUUCUUUCUGAGACUCACUUCACUCAGUGACUUCAUAGAUUCCUUGAGACCUUUUCAGAACAAACAGUCACAGUAAUCAGUGACUCAUCUGCUGUUUUUUUUUUUUUUAGCUUUAUGCUGAAACUUAUUUUGAGCAGCCACAUUUCCCACAUGAGCCUUCAAAGUUUCCCAGAAUGCAUUGUUUUAACCUGGACUUGUUUCUGUUCCUCACAGAUGGUUCAGUUUAUUCAAACAUUGAAACUGUGACAAAGAUUUUGUCUGCAGGUUGUGACGGUUGGAGUAAGUGGUCUAAAAUGUAUUAAUGUAGUUGUAACUCUUUUGCACAACUCAUAUUAAGUUUUUUUAGCCUUCACGAUUCAUAACUUAUAAUUUGAUGAUGUGAUGAGGAAA